CAAGAUCCUUCGAAGGUUUACCUCUUUCGCCAGCUACUAAGAGUUCUAUUGAGAGUGUAUUAACUUUUUUAUCAUUCUUAACCGUGUAGAGUGCAUUUUCUUCACUUGACGUAUUUUGGUUGUGAACAAUUGUAGUGGCUAUUUUGCUGUUAACAACCAGCACCGGCGCAUCAUUUCCUUUCAUUGUUGAUUGCUGCUCAUUUUGAGAAUCAUUUGCAUCUCCAUGUAAGGCAUCCUCUCUAAUCGGUGAACUUUGUGCAUCUACAUCAUUUCUUCCCACUAAAUGACUUGAUUUACCAG
rnacentral:misc_RNA from 1 species